GUAACCAGAUGCUCCGCAGGGCGCAGCUUUAUACGACCGCAGAGGUUGAACCCUGAACGGUUGGGGCAAGUAUGGACACAACAUUCAAGCUGGAUUCAGCUCUAAAUUUGGAUUGUGAUUAAAUAGUUGACACAGCAUAGGUUUCUGACACAGAAUGAAUGUGGUCUAAUGAACUUAAAUUUUUUUUUGCCUUUGAGCAAUUCACUAUGCUGUUGAAUAUAAAUCCUCUCAACAAAAUGUUUGAAGAAAUAUUCUUUUUAUUUAUG
rnacentral:lncRNA from 1 species